AAAUAGAGAGAGAGAGGAGAGGGACCUCUGUGAAACCCUAAAAUCUCGAUGUCACUGCCGCCAUUCAUUUCCUUGCCACGGCCAUUCAUCUCCUUGCCACCGUCGUCUCCGAUCCUCCGUCAAAGCGUUGACGCUGGAGUUAUGAAUGGAGAUCGUGGAGCCUCUGAAUUUUCGUUGACCUCUCAGUGACGAUUUGAUUCAAAUUUUUGAGGUAAUGGUUUAAAUUUUCCGCUUCUACGUUGUCUUCCACCACAGGUUGUGCCGCUGGUUCUGCUUUUCCUCCGGCGGCUUGGAGCACUCAGAGUGCGGUUUCGGCAUGGAUUCGAUGGUGUGGUUUGGGCGCGAAUUCGGUAGUGCUAGCUGAGGAGAUCAAGAAGGCGAGCUAGUGAGUCUCUGUAAACUUCGAUUAAAGAUAUGUUCAAAGCUAUCAGAUCUCGUGAACUGAUUUUCAUGUCGUGUCGAGUUAUUACAAUGAGGAUUUGUUCCUAAUUUUUUCUUGUUCUUUGCUUUCUUCAAUUCUUCAAAUUUUUUCAAAGAUACUAGUUUUUGUGAUCAUUUGAUGAUAUAGUUUUGGCAAAGUUAUACACAAAUUCUGCUUCUUAUGUUCUAAUGACUUGAGGAUUCUACCAGAUGCAGGCCAAGAUCUUUAUAUUAGAAUUCCUGCUUCAGAGUUAGAUACAAAAAAUGGAGGCAAGGGCAAGAUAUGAAUUGCAGUUUGGGUCACAAUUGGCGUAUUAUGUGGCCUGCUCUUCGUUUCAUGUUUGAUAUGGAAUGGACGAAAAAAGGCCACUCUGAAAGCAUUGUUGGAAAUCCCCUUGUUUGUGCAAUUGGAAAAGAACCAAACUGCCGUGGCAUGAGUCAAUGUCCAUGAACUUAAAUGGCACUGAAGGUAAGAAUAAGAUCUCUCAAGAGUUUCAUCUUUUUUCGAAUUAAUUGUGAAAUUGUGUCAUUAUUUUUAUGCUGACAUAAAUAAUGGAUGUCUCUGCCUCAUAGUUCUCGAUUUUGGCCUUGUUCUUUGGUGGAAGCACAAGCACAAUCAAAAACCAUUCUUUGAUGAUAAAGGUACUUUCCAAUUAGCAUCAUAGUUACCAUUUUCUUCUUCUUUAAUACUAUAAUAGUUCCUUCAAUUCAUGUACAGCUAGGAGUCUGUUACUUAUCCACUGACUUCCCUCACGCCCACUUCUUAAGGGUUGAAGCGGAAGAGCAACCAGAGAUAUCCGAGGCUUAUUCCGUCUCUGCUGUCCCUUUCUUUGUCUUCUUCAAGAUAAUU